rnacentral:rRNA from 1 species
UACAGGGGGUGCAAACGUUGCUCGGAAUUAUUGGGCGUAAAGCGCGCGUAGGCGGCUACUUAAGUCGGAUGUGAAAGCCCUCGGCUCAACUGAGGAAGUGCAUCCGAAACUGGCAGGCUAGAGUACUAAAGAGGGUCGCGGAAUUCCCGGUGUAGAGGUGAAAUUCGUAGAUAUCGGGAGGAACACCGGUGGCGAAGGCGGCGACCUGGACAGAUAUUGACGCUGAGGUGCGAAAGCGUGGGGAGCAAACAGG